CUUCAAGGUGUAGUUAACAUGGAGAAAAAGAAUGGAACUGAGUAGAAGGUGGUACGAAUUGAAGACCAAACGGCUGCCACUUAAAGUUAGGCGCUGAGGUGAGGAAGCCUUAAUGUUAUUGCAAGGUUUCUUGGAGGACCCCAGCCCAUCUGUUCUGCCCAGCCUGUUAAAUGAAAUGAAAGCUCCUCUUAGAGGCAAACCAGAAUUAAAAAAUCAUGGGAACCAGCUUCAGUCACCAUGAAGUAUCAUGUGCUGAAACCUCAUAAUAUCAACGCAUCACUAGCUAAGUUUAGAGUAAACUUCUGGAUGCGACCAAGUGACUCAAGGCAUCGGCAAAGGUCUCACUUGAAGUCUCAUAGGGAAAUAAUUUCUGUCUCUUAAUUUAAUACAACGUCAAAGGAAUUGAGCCCAGCAAGUCCUACAGUUAAAACCCAGAAGUCCUGUUUUGAUUUGAACAGUGAGCUUCUCUGUUGUUAGCAGGUGAUUUCAUUUGGCUGUCCUUGGAGUCAGUCUUUGCCUUGAGUUCAAAAAGACCUGGAUUUCACCCAGAGGUAUUCCAUCAGCAUAACUUUGGCUUAAAUGAUACCAGAAUACCCUCUACCAGCUUCCAGUGAAUCUUCCAAGCAUCUUCAAGUGCAAGUUUGGGGCUUUCAGUACAGCUAUCCAGUAUUCUGCUGAGUUUGGAGGGGAACACAUUUCACCAAUGAUGGGAAAACAAGACAAGAGAAAAAUAUUUGCAAUUCAAAAAGAAGAAAAUGGAAAAGCAUUGCUUAGAAAGAACUCCACACACAUCCUUGCAUAAAUAUCCUUUGUCUGUGGGUCAGGGCUUACUUGUGCUGUACUCUUUGA